CUAGGUUACCCCAAAGCCUUCUCUUCUCCAGGCUGAGCAAUCCCAAUCCUCUCAGCCUUUCCUCAUGGCAGGGCUGCUCCAUCCCUCUGAUCAACUUGGUGUCCCUCCUCUGGACUCUCUCCAACAGGUCGAUGUCCUUCCUGUGCUGGGGACCCUGGAGCUGGAUGCAGAAGUUCAGGUAAGUGUCUCACCUGAGCAGACCAGAGGGAAAGAAUCAACUCCCAUCUGGACCCAUGGCUUGGAACAGGGAAUAACUCUUAUUAUAAAAAGUAAGUGAAAAUGUUAUGUGUAAACCAGAUCUAUUUUCAAGGGGAGGGGUUGUUGCUUUCAUUUACAAAUAAGAAGAGCGUUUCCUGAGAGUAACAGGAGGGUUAGUAACUGCUCUGGAUUCCCUUGUGCCCUCCAACAUCAUUCCUGUGGGCUGCUAUAAAAUAAGCCAGGUCCUGGGGGUGGUAAUCCAGUUGUGUUCUGCUAGGAAAGGCAGCCAGCAUUUCCAGAGUGGUGCUCCCAGUUAAGGUCCCAUAAUCCUGUGGCUUUGCCAAGUGCCUUGAAGAGGUGGUAAACCAGACCUGGGGAUUAUUGGGGGGAAAACAGAGUUAUCUUCCCAAUAUCCUGCUGUGUGUGAAACCAAGGUGUGGGCAGACCUUUAGCCUUCCAGGGGUGAUCCACCUGCUGGGAUUGGAGAACAGGCUGUGUCUCUGGGAGAGAGUGUGUGUUUACCCAGAGAGAGUGAAGCCCUGCCAGGCAGUGCUUUCCACCCGACGGCAGGGCAAAGGCCUUUGCAAUGGGAGUGCUGCCAUGUUCCGGGGAAAUGGGGUUAUCUGUGGGAGGAACAGCUGUGGCACUCCUCCCAUGUUCCAGCUUCUCCUUCCUGAGAAGGGCUCAGCUCUCCGGACAGCCCAGGAGGUCAUGCACUCAGCAGCAGUUCCCAAAGCCCAUGGAUGUCACAGCCAGUAGGGAAGGACUCGGCCUUCCUUCCACACAGUAUUCCUGGAGCUUUCUGCCAUGCCAGGAUCUUUCCAGAAAGCCGGAGCUCCCUGCCUGCCGUCCGGGAUCAGCAUGGCACAUUCCAGAUGAGGAGCCCGACCAAGGUAAUUUGGGAAGGGCUGCGGAAUUUUAGAAUUCUUCAAAUCCAAGAGCACAGGGCCACCCUGCAAGCACCCCAACCCUUGGCCAGACCCUCCGGGUGGGAACAAAACACAUUUUAUUUCACAGAUAUUAAACGUCUCAUCGCACAAAGACAUGGGAAUCGGGACUGCCACGGUAUCGGGGAUGGGGUACCCAACGUGGGGCACUCGAGAGCCGCACGGCAGCCUGGCAAAGGACACUUUUGUGGAGACAUUUUGUUCAGUCACGUCUCUUCGGCCGCCCUGAGGGGCUCGCGCUCCUCCUCAUGGCGCCGCCUGGCGGUCACGCGGGGCAGGGCGCAGGUGUUAAGGGAG
rnacentral:lncRNA from 1 species